rnacentral:rRNA from 1 species
UACGGAGGGUGCAAGCGUGUCCGGAUUUAUUGGGUUUAAAGGGUGCGUAGGCGGCCCUGUAAGUCAGUGGUGAAAUACUGCAGCUUAACUGUAGCAUUGCCAUUGAUACUGUAGGGCUUGAGUACAGAUGAGGUAGGCGGAAUUGAUGGUGUAGCGGUGAAAUGCAUAGAUACCAUCAAGAACACCGAUUGCGAAGGCAGCUUACUAAGCUGUAACUGACGCUGAGGCACGAAAGCGUGGGGAUCGAACAGG